GAGUUUGAUCUUGGCUCAGAUUGAACGCUGGCGGCGUGCUUAACACAUGCAAGUCGAGCGGCAGCGCGGUAGCAAUACUGGCGGCGAGCGGCGAACGGGUGAGUAAUGCUUCGGAAUCUGCCCUUUGGUGGGGAAUAACCUGGGGAAACUCAGGCUAAUACCGCAUACGCCCUUCGGGGAAGCAGGGGAUCGCAAGACCUUGCGCCAUUGGAUGAGCCGAAGUCGGAUUAGCUAGUUGGUGAGGUAACGGCUCACCAAGGCGACAAUCCGUAGCUGGUCUGAGAGGACGACCAGCCACACUGGGACUGAGACACGGCCCAGACUCCUACGGGAGGCAGCAGUGGGGAAUAUUGGACAAUGGGGGCAACCCUGAUCCAGCGACGCCGCGUGUGUGAAGAAGGCCUGCGGGUUGUAAAGCACUUUUAGUGGGGAUGAAAAGCCAAGGGCUAAUACCUUUUGGUCUUGACCUAACCCAAGAAAAGCACCGGCUAACUCUGUGCCAGCCGCCGCAGUAA
rnacentral:rRNA from 1 species